UGGUUUUAUUUCAAAGCGGCA
rnacentral:piRNA from 1 species